GCUAAGAGAGUAAUAAAAAAAUUUUCUUUUAACCCACCCUAUUAUACAUGUAUACCGCAAUAACAUUUCUGUUUACUAACGAGCCGUAAGUCAGCCAACGUUAUUUCAUGCACACGUUGUUAUACACGCGUAUAUUGAGUGGUCAGUCACGCUAUACUUGUUAAAAGAAGUAAGAAAAAAAAAAAACGAAGAAAAAAUUAAGUAAAAAUUAAAUAAAAUAAUCUCCGACAAGUUACACACCUCGCGAAGGAGUUUUGCAUUCAUGAAUUGAUGUAGCCUUUGCCGUUGUACCGUUUUUUUUUAAAUAUAACUACCGCUAACAAUUAAUGCAAUGUAAUUACCAUUAUUUUAUUAUAUCUACAAAGCGUAUGCGCGACCGCAGGUGUAAUUAAAAUCUCUGGCCGACUCCGGCUGUUAAUGAAUGGCCUGUCGUGUCUAUGGGACGGAAGACCGAUUUCAAAUUUCCGCCAAUUCGAAACGGAAGAUUUUUUUUUCUUUCGUUUGUCGUUUUUUAUGCCCGUCGAGUUUGGAAAUCCAUUAUGAUCUCAUACACACACGUGCGGAAUUCUUACCGUAUUCGGCACAAUCACUGUUGCGGGAAAUAGUUUUUUUUAAUUUUCUUAACGUUCUUCCGGUCUUUUGAUAAACUGGGUCACGAUAUGCGGAAACGACGAUUCGAGUAUACGUUGCUGCAUUGUCUUUUUUACUUAAUUUUUUUUUUUUUUUUUUCCCGUGUUUUGUGAAUAAUCUAAUCAUUUUACGCCGAGUCAAUCGAUUGCUCACGUAUAUAUAAAUCCGACCGACGAUUAUAUUGUUUCAUUCCGACGAUGACUCGAAUUUCAUGCAUUUCAUAGACGAAAUUCCGUGGGAAUUGAAUUGUUCAUUAGUAGAAAGUGACCGUUAUGACAGUCGAUCGAAUUUUCAAUGGAUACAAAUUUUGUAUACGUAUAAUAUACCUACUUCCCUCCCAGAAAUAUACGUUUUUUUUCCCCCCGCAGAUUCGGAUCGGCACCAUUUUAUUAUAAAAAUCGAAACCUCGUCGGCGGUGAGAUCGUGCGAUAUUUUGAAUCGAGGUUAACAAUUUCUUGAUCGUUUUUCUUUUUUCUCCCCCCCCCCUUCUGCGGUUCUUUCUUCGUUCGUUUUUUACCGGUAAUUAUAAAAGUCGGAAUCGAAGUUCAGCCAACGAUAUACCAGCUGCCUCCGUUUAGGAGAACAAUGAUCCGAUCGUUAGCGUACAUAUAAACUCUAUAUAGGAGAACAAUAAGCGCUCGUAUACGCCAUACCCGUGCAACGCACCAACGUCUACUUUGCGACUAAACUUCGGCUACAUAUGUAUUUAUUUAUUAUAACGAGACUCGAGAAAUAUUGCGAAAGAGCGAAGCUGCUCCAUGCUCCUAAUUAGGCUCUGUAACGCAUCAGGGCUCUGAGAUGGAUAUACGGAUGUUCAUUGCGCUCCGCUGCACCCCGGAAGACCACCGGAAACUUCUGCCGACCGAGAGACCAGCGGCGCCUCGGUCGGUAAGAGAUUUUCCAUUACCGAGCCGCUGAAAUUCCAAACAGGCGUUGUUCGUUGGAAAAGAGAAACAACAACAACAUGCGCGAUGAUGAAAAUUGUUGCGCUAUUAACGUGUAACGUUAUAACCCUGUUGGGGAAUCGUUUAGCGCCGUUAUAUUCGUUAGUCGAAAAAGUAAACGCGUUGCACUCCGAUGCGCACAGCUAUCUAUACGGGAGACGCCCGUGGUACACGGAUUCAUCGAUAAUUCGGUUCUUCCCCGAAUGCCACUUCGCCACUGUCACUGUCGGAUGAUCGAGAAUCUCCAGAGGUGAAAUAAAAACAGGUGCGCCGGAUAUAGCGGGAACCGGGCUAUACCGUAUUGUCUUAAUUUUUACAUCGCGGUUACCAGCGGCGCGCGGUACUGUACACGUUAUUGGUUCAACGAUCGAUUUGGAAAGCAUGAGCGAAAAAAAAAAAAGGGCACCAAAAAUAGACGAAACGCGCGGGCGACGCUCGAUCGACGUGCGAACAAAGAAGUUCUGCAACGAUGAAUCGAUCGCGGAAUCGCCUCUUUGUUCUCCGGUCGGAAUUGCACGAGAUCGCCAAAAAAUUUCACCCCAUUCGCUCAACUCGUUGUCAUCACCACCCGCGGGCGCGCAGCGGAUAGGAGAGAGAGAGAGAAGAAGAUCGGUCGUAAAAUUUCAUAACCGCCUUGUUCGGUUUUGUUAUUCAAUGUCAUCGCGUCAUUGGGUGUGGCGACGACGGUCCCCGAGGGACCCCUCCGCUUCCAUCUUGAUUCGUGAACUGCGUCGAGGAAUAUCGGACGUUGUCUCGACGAUCGAAUUCGGAGAAGAUUUGACGCUGACGACACCGGAAGUAACUUAAAAAUCGUACUCGACGGAUCGAGACGUAUAAUUACCGGAAGUCUGUAACCGAUCGCCAGCGAGUAUUCCGCAACUCGGUUCAACCGCACCGAUCGCCGGAUUCGUCCGGCUCUACGUACAGCAUCAUGCGUCACUGAAUUCCCCAGCGAAGUAAGAAGGCACUUCUCGUCCGUUGGAUGGUCUGCGAGCAUCGGCAAAUGGACCGUAAUGGGACGAUUUCGAGUGAUUCGAUCGGCGAAACCGUUUUAACGGCUAUAGCAGGCGGUCGUCGUAACGAUGUUCCGAUGAACCCUGACUCGGCAUUACUAGCGCGAUUUUAAUAUCUCAGCCGGAAACUUUUAAUAACUACGCGAUGAUCGGUAAUACGUGCGGCCGAUCUUCGCGUCUCCACGUAUACCCCCGCUACCGUCAUCCGAUGUGACACGGAUGAAUUACCUCGAUAUUGUUGUAGUUUUCUUCGUCAUUUUUCUCAUUUCGCGCCCGAUGAUUCCUCCGAUCGCGUUUCGCAACGGUGCAAUUCACAUCCGAACGAACACCACAGAAGUUCUUUUGCCUAGGCGCGGACGAGGUGAACCGAGAUGAAGAAGCGAAUCGCGUCGGUCGUCUUCGAUCGGCGAUUGAAGGAACGUUAAUUAAUAACGAUGGCCGAGAAUCGAGGCGACCGCCGAUCCGUGUAUAGGUAUUAUUACAAGCUGAAAUAUUCUCUUCGAUCCGAAUCUCGACGCGGAGUCAAAACUCAUUGUCAAAGAUCAGAAGUUGCGCGACGCGUCGCUCGACCCCGUACGAUCCGAAGAUGAUCAUUCAGCUGUCACGCUCUCGGCGGCGCGACGAUUUCGCCGCAUGACCGCGUGUCACGAGGAACAGGGGAAAACUCUACGUCCGCUACGUGUAGUUUUUGUUCCGAGUUGAAGGGACGCGCGUGUCCGUCGCUCGCCGUUUGUAGAUUUAAUCAUUUACCCGUUCCAGGAAGACACCGCGAGCGUGUAGCGUAGUUCGUGUAUUUUCGGUUUUCGAUGCAGCCGGACGAAAUCGUGAAAGAUAAUUCGAAAGCACACGCGCCGCACCGAUCCCGAUCGUUAUUCGCUUGGUUAAUUUUGUUUGUUCGUACUGCUGAUCCCGAGCGCGCAACGACCCCGAUCGCCGAUCUUCCGAUCCGUCGAUCCGAACGCUCGCUCUCUACCGCCGACUAUUGUUCUACCCGGUCUCAAUAACGCGUCCCAACUAAUGUAAGAACCUUUGAUGAUCGUUAUUGCGUUUUACGAUCACCGUAACACCGAACGGUCUAGCUUUCAAUUUUCAGCUCACGGUGUGCAGCCCGUUUGCAAAGAACGGAAAAAGAUCGAACUCUCCACCUCGUCGAACCGGAGAUAUCGGUACCGAAUUUCUCCGUCGCAAACGUCAUCGUCUUCAUCUUCGAUCGAAAACGAUCGAACGAUCCGUCCAUUUUUGACUGCCAGCGAAAAACACAGCGAUAAGAGCGAUCGAUUUCCUCUUCCGAUCCCACGAGGGGAGAAAAUCAAAUAAAUACCUAAAUCAUUGCGGUGUAUAUCGGUCUCUCUACCGUUGUGCGCGGCGGUAGGGAAGAUUCUUCCUCCGCAGACGUCCGCCUCUAAGCGAAGAUUAAUGAUAUCAUUGUCGUUAUAUCGCACGCGGAUGUAGAGGAAGCUUCUCGUCCCGAUGUAUCGUAGUCUAAGGUGCACGGGUGGUAGGUAGGUACGUACGUACAACCGUGUGCAGGUGAGUUGCCCGCAGCUCAAAACUUCCGAACGUGUAGGAAAAAGGAACACGGUCGGUGUGCGGAGGUAGGUAUAGGUGGGCUAUCGUUUCAUCGCAGGUGUCGCGGUGGCGCAGGUACUCGAGCCGGUAUAGAUUCCUUAAAGCGUAUUACAUAGGUGAAUUUAUAUUUGAAUAGCUCGGUAGCCGUACUCCAUUCUUACCUAGAGUUCCAACAGACGUGUAUAAUGGGGUACGGGAGAGAGAUUCUUUGGUGUUCAGUGACCGAAACUCUCGCAUGUUGCAGCAGCAGCAGCAGCAGCAACAGCAGCGGUAUAAUAGUAUAACAAGGAACAUCCAACGGCGGCAACAAAACUUAGUUUGGUUUAGAAAUCAACGCGUUAUAACGGCCGACGCCGAGUUGAAGUACGUUACAUACAUAUAGUAUACGUACGUACGUAUACCUAUGAGAAAAACGGCAACUGCAGCAAUUACCUACUCCUCCCGUUAAGUCGUAUCUUUUCCUUUUUUUUUUUUUCGCAUUAUAAUUCUAUACGUGAUUUCAGACCGGACCGUUCCAGCUCUCCUCUAUCACGAACGUGGAUGGAUACCUUUAUUUGUCCAUACUUUGUUUUUUUUUUCUCCCUUUUUUUUUUUUUUUUCUUUAUCCCCGCAGCGCAUUUUUUCCUCCGCCUUUUAUAUCCUCUCCCUUUUCGUGUACGCGUUCGAAAAGUUCGCCGGUGCCACAGCGGCGGAAUCUUCGUCGUAAUUUUCUGUGCUGUGAGGAUAGAAAAACGGACAGGUUAACACGGAACCUGCGGAACGUUCUAUUCGGAAGGAGAGAAAAUAAAGGAGGAGGGAGUAGUAGUCUGUAUCGGCUCCGGAGAUGUGCGGAUGAAAAAUAUUUUUCUUUCAAUAAGGUCCGCGUGUAUAACGCGCAAGAAAGUGAUAGACGACCACUCCCCGCGACGCGCAAACAACUCGACUUUCUAUCUUCAAAACCCGACACUGAACACCGCCGAUUAACGUAUUUUUUUUUUUUUUUUUUAUCUUUUUACUUUUAUCUUUUCCGAUAUGGGACCGUAAAAGAUGCGAGGAAUGAAAAAAAAAAGAGAGAAAGAAAAAACAUGAAAAUUAUCGCCCGUCUUCGCGGUCGGUCUACGUGACCCGUGACGUUAGACAUCGAGGUAGAUGUAUAGGAAAUUGCAUUUGAAUGGUUCUUUGCACUCAUUCACCUUGUUUUUUUAUUUUUAUUUUUUUCUUUUUUCUUUCUACUAUGUUUUCCGUAUUAUAAUGUUGUUGGUAUUAGCCGGUGCAGAUAACAGUUAAUAAAAAGCAUCGAUGCACGUCUUAUUUUGUUAUUAACAUUUCCGACCGUCAGUCAUGCGUGCCUUCUUGUGUUUUUGUAACUCCCGUAUCCCUGCGUUAUUAUAUUAUAUACUAGAUACACGCUAAUUGCGAGUUCAGAAUUCCUACCGAUCACCAACUUUUUUCUUUUUUUUUUUUUUUUUUUUUUUUUUUUCUUGCACCUAUUUAAAAGCACCGCAGUCGAAGGUGGCCUGGCGUAUCACAAACGUUUACCUGAAACUGGUGCAUGUACGUACCCGAGUUCGGAGAUGGGGAACAUAACGAAAUUUUGUAGAUUUCGUUGGGAAUCUAGUCUUUACAGUUUCGGUCUAGUUUUUAAUUUUAAUUGUUGCCACGUGUGUGAACCGGCGUAUACGCGUUUGUUACUCUGUAACUAAUUCAGCGGCAUUAAAAUUCACGACUAUACAAUUCCCGUCAACGAGAGCACGAAACCAGUCAUCGAGGUCGUCGUAUAACCACCGCUGUACUUUCUUCGUUCAAACGGAUUAAACUUCGGGAUAACGAUACGCCUGUAUGUUAACUAAUUUUCACAAACCGACGUGAUUUCACUCGCUUUUCUCGCCGGAAACGAUCGAUCGAUCGCUCGAGUAAAAUUGGAGCACUCUGUACUCCAGUUUUCGUUCAAAUUUCUGUAAUUUCAAUAAUUCAAAAAACUUUUUUUGCGAAAGCCGAGUCUUUUGGCGUUUAAUUUUUUCUAUUCCUUUUGUUAUUUUCUCCUUUUUUUUAUUUUUUUUUUCUAUCACGUUAGAGCUCGUUACGGUUCUCGAUUUUCCGUAAACGUAUGUACACGUAUUAUAAGAUGGAAGUAUAAAAUCGGUAGGCGUGUAAUUAAGCCACACGCUAUCGUUCCCAAAUUACAGUAAUACGUAUACUGUAAUGUGUAUGUAUACACGAUGCUAUAAUAUACCUAUAUGCUUCGAAUGUAAACCACUUCUGACAUCUGAAUAUAAUACAUAUAUACCAUACGCUGUGUAAUGAGUUUUCGUGUUUUCUAAAAUUAUUUUCAUCGCCUUGUACACGGGGAGUGGGUAUCAAAAAAAUAAACGUGCGCUUAAACUCUUCAUUUUUAAUUCAUAUAAUUCGCGGACGAUAUGGCUACGUUUCUUUUUUUCUCCCUUUUUACUUUUAUCUGUACACACGUGCAUAAUACAGCAGGUACGUAUACGUCUAUUAUCUCGGUACAAGAUUUGAUUAAUACGGGAUCGGUGGCGUAUGGGGUCGUUUAAUAUUCAUCAGGUUGAAUUCUUUCAUUAAAAUUCCGCUUAUCUAGAUGAUUUAAUUUUAUUCUUUUAUACGUACCAUAGAAUAAUUCCGCAAUAUAUAUUAACAUUGUUUUCUCCCACUUGAUGGAUGUUGGUCGGUAUUAAAAAAUAAAAGAAAUAAAAAAAAA